GGUGAACGCUGGCGGCGUGCCUAAGACAUGCAAGUCGAGCGGGGCAGGUUUAUACCUGUUCAGCGGCGGACGGGUGAGUAACGCGUGGGUGACCUACCCGGAAGAGGCGGACAACCUGGGGAAACCCAGGCUAAUCCGCCAUGUGGUCCUGUCCUGUGGGGCAGGACUAAAGGGGCGACCCGCUUCCGGAUGGGCCCGCGUCCCAUCAGCUAGUUGGUGGGGUAAAGGCCCACCAAGGCGACGACGGGUAGCCGGUCUGAGAGGAUGGCCGGCCACAGGGGCACUGAGCCACGGGCCCCACGCCUACGGGAGGCAGCAGUUAGGAAUCUGCCGCAAUGGACGGAAGUCUGACGGAGCGACGCCGCUUGGAGGAGGAAGCCCUUCGGGGUGUAAACUCCUGAACUGGGGACGAAAGCCCCGUGUAGGGGGAUGACGGUACCCAGGUAAUAGCGCCGGCCAACUCCGUG
rnacentral:rRNA from 1 species